GAAGGUGGUUCUUGCGGUGAGGUUACACCUGUUCCCAUCCCGAACACAGUAGUUAAGUUCACCUGCGCCGAUGGUACUGGUCUGGCGACGGAUUGGGAGAGUAGGUCGCCGCCUUCU
rnacentral:rRNA from 1 species